UCGGGAGGUGAUCAAAAGGAGGAAGAGGAGAUCCAUGGUUGGGGAUACAUUCAACGACCUAGGCAUCAUCCUCCCUGACGUCGUACUCGAAGCCCGCAGCCAUUGCCUUCUCAAUCUACGUUAGUCAGCAGCAGCAAGCAGAGAAUUAACAACAGUAGACCAAAGCAAAGGGGGGUCAGCCUGAAUGGGACGUAUCCCCUCCAGAAGACUCGCCCUAGCUAACCUGCCUGGUACCUUUCAUUAGCACUUCUCCCACAUUGUACGUCUUGUUCUCUGCAUGAUGUGUGGUCGAUGGGCGGAGGCGACGACUGGCGGCUGUUCUAUUUACACCUGACAUGGUUGAGAGGCUAGGGAGCAGGCGAUUUUGCACUCGUAUUUGGUCGGCAAUGGAGAUGAAUUUGUGAGAGAUGUGGCUGGGAGUUGCACCGGUCAUUUUUCUGCCCUCUCUAUGUUAUCCCUUUGCACUAAUCGGUAAUUGCUUUUUGACCAGGGGAUAGGGUAGCGUACACGAACAGCAAAAUUGUAGAAGACGAGGAGGACAAUCUGAGUGACCAACAUUAUGUGGAGUAUUGAGAUGCAGAUCCAUCUUCACCGACAGCACGCGCUUGUCUGUGACCUCCCACCAGCAACGCCUUGAGGUCACCCACACAAGCGACCAAGCAAUUCCACGCUGUCACCCUCUGCUACUUCGCCAACGACAUCGAGGAGGUCGUGGGUGAGAGCUACUGUCCUCCCUGGAGAACAUGCUCGUGCCCCAUGCGUACGAAGAAGAGCUAAGACACUCGCAUGGGUGCUCAAGGAAAUACACCAGAUUGAGCGAGAGUGUUACGCAAUUUAUCAACAAGAGCAAAGACUCUAAUCUGAUGAUGUAGGACAGCUUUAAUGUGACAGAGGAUCAUGGUGGUCGAUGGAUUGUGCACCCGGUAGUAGACUAGGAAAGGAACAUUAUUUACGGAACACAAUGAUAUUCAGAGCAGCCCUGCACUAUGUGAGAUUUAGAAGUUGGUACUGCCGGCGGAUGCAUCCAUGUGCUAAUCUCCUGGCACCGUGUAGACGGAGCCAAACGAGUU